UCAGAGCUUUCAGAUGGUUUAUUUUAGCCAUGGUGCGAUGAUGUGCCAGGAGACUGGAACAGGGAAAACACAGCAACUCUAAAACGCAAAUGGAUGCUCAAACAAUCUGAGGACACAUUUGACAUCAUGGCCCGCUAUUACGGCUUCCACAAAGGUACAAUUUGAGGAUGCUGACAAAUGCCUCACCACUCUGUACUUCAGAAUUCUGUUGGGAAUGGUAAUCGGCUGUCAGGACCAGGCUUCUCAGAUUAUCCUGGGCUGAGCGCCUCCAGCAUGCUGUGAUGUCAGCUUUUGUAGGCACAACACACAGCAGUUCCCCCCCUGGAGGAACCUCACAUUGGAGUCCAUGUGAACUCUGAGUAGUGUCUGGAUUUGGGG